rnacentral:rRNA from 1 species
GACGAACGCUGGCGGCGUGCCUAAUACAUGCAAGUCGAACGAAACUUUCUUACACCGAAUGCUUGCAUUCACCGUAAGAAGUUGAGUGGCGGACGGGUGAGUAACACGUGGGUAACCUGCCUAAAAGAAGGGGAUAACACUUGGAAACAGGUGCUAAUACCGUAUAUCUCUAAGGAUCGCAUGAUCCUUAGAUGAAAGAUGGUUCUGCUAUCGCUUUUAGAUGGACCCGCGGCGUAUUAACUAGUUGGUGGGGUAACGGCCUACCAAGGUGAUGAUACGUAGCCGAACUGAGAGGUUGAUCGGCCACAUUGGGACUGAGACACGGCCCAAACUCCUACGGGAGGCAGCAGUAGGGAAUCUUCCACAAUGGACGCAAGUCUGAUGGAGCAACGCCGCGUGAGUGAAGAAGGUCUUCGGAUCGUAAAACUCUGUUGUUAGAGAAGAACACGAGUGAGAGUAACUGUUCAUUCGAUGACGGUAUCUAACCAGCAAGUCACGGCUAACUACGUGCCAGCAGCCGCGGUAAUACGUAGGUGGCAAGCGUUGUCCGGAUUUAUUGGGCGUAAAGGGAACGCAGGCGGUCUUUUAAGUCUGAUGUGAAAGCCUUCGGCUUAACCGGAGUAGUGCAUUGGAAACUGGAAGACUUGAGUGCAGAAGAGGAGAGUGGAACUCCAUGUGUAGCGGUGAAAUGCGUAGAUAUAUGGAAGAACACCAGUGGCGAAAGCGGCUCUCUGGUCUGUAACUGACGCUGAGGUCCGAAAGCGUGGGUAGCAAACAGG